GGUGAGACCCGAGGCUGUAAGAAGAGGAACGCAGCGGGCGGAGAAAAGCCAGAGCUUUUUCUCUGUGAGCCGCUGCCUCCAGGGCCAUAGCCGACCCUGCUCCGAGAUCCCAGCCGCCGCUCUCCGUGCAGGAGGGGUGCCCACCCUGGGGAGGCCAGGGUGCGCGGAGUGGAGGGACAGGGCUUCAAGCGACCGGGAGUUACCAGCAAACCCCUGAUCCCUGAGCAGUUUAUUUUAAAAGCUUUUGCAAAUGUUGGACGGUUUCGUUUGGUGGAGGCCGUCUUUGCACUAAAUUCUCCUGUCCUCCCCCUUCGAAACGCACAAAAUGAAUUUUGAACAGAUUUUGGAUGAGAGGUUUUCUUCCUUUUUUCAUCUUCUGAAACAUUUCCCCCUCAUUUCUUCUCAGAUAAAGACCCAGAAACCCGGGACAGUUACUCGGUGUACAGCUAGUCAAAUACUGAGGAAACCAGUCGAUAUUUGCCAAAGAUUGGGCAUGUUCUGGGUGGUCUCAGAUUUUGAAGAAACGACUUUUUUACUGCACAAAAUAGUUUUACAAUCAGUUCCAUCAGACAGCCCCAGGGGCUCUCCUAGGGAAAGGGGCCAAUAGGCAAGGUUGCAUGGGGAUAAGAGAGGCAAGCGGCCAGUGGAAAACGUUUUUUGUUUUUUUUUUCCUAACAGUUGGGCAUUUCUGUAGCUCUGAAAGCAAACUUGUUUGUUUCAUUUCAACGAUAGAAAAAAAACCACUCCUGUUUUGGAAAUGUAACCCAGCAUAAAAAUACAUUUGCAAUGGGGAAAAAGAAAGCAGUUUAGGGCCACCCAGAAGAAAAUAUUUUUUCCCUGAUUUUUUUUUUAAUUUGGUAUUUCCCAGUGUGGGUUUGCCUCAUUUUACAAAUAGCUGCCCAUGUCAAGAGGUGGGUAUGUGAUUUAAAUAUUUUAAUUUGAAUCACAUUUUACAUAGUCUAGGAAACUGACAAAAGAAUCCUAUAGAGAAUUGUUUUAUAAAGUGAAUAACUGCUUCUCUACCUACCUGCCCCUCUCAUUCUUCUUUUCUGUGCGUGUUUUUGGGGGGCUGUUAUGGGAUAAAUCUUGUUUGGCUUAAAAAUCACUAAAACGCAGCCUUUCAAAUCCAAAACAGAGAGCUUAGGUACCCAACAUUCUAUAGAAUGUAUUAUUUCCUCAAGAGGUUGCUAGGAACAGUUAUGUAGAUCUACCAGGUGCAGGGAAGCACUCCACACUCUCACCCAGGUCCUGUAUCCCUGCAAGACUGCGUUGGAAAGACUGAAGAGGCUGGAGUGCAGUGGCACAAUCUUGGCUCACAGGAACCUCCGCCUCCCAGGUUCAAGAGAUUCUCAUGCCUCAGCCUCGCGAGUAGCUGGAAUUACAGAGACAAGGUCUUUCUCUGCCACUCAAGCUGGAGUGCAGUGGCAUGAUCAUAGCUCACUGCAGCAUCAACCUCCUGGGCUCAAGCCAUCUUCCAACCUCACAGCCACCUGGGUAGCUGGGACUAUGGGUACCCACCCCAUACCCGGAGCUGACAAGCCAUAGCAGGACGGCUAUCCCCUGAGAGAUAGGAGAGGAGGAGAAACAGCCUGACAGGGGCCUGGAGCAGCUGGCUGGCGUCAGUAAUUUCCUGCAGGAGACUCUGCUGGCCGAGCACACAUCACCCUUCUGUUGCUCCUCUGUAUUCUCCCUUGUGCUACUAAAAUACGCUAAUGUAACUCCUGGGCUGUGCUAAGCUAAAUGCAGUUAUUUAACCUCAUUUCUAUGGAACCCAGGUCUAAAGCAGCAACAUCUAUUUGGAACAAGAUGGGGAGGAGGUAAGCCUCAAACAUCCCUGAGCAGCAGGAAUACACAUUACAAAGUUUCUCUUUCCACCCAGAAGAGACUUCUGGGCCCUUGCUUGAGACCACUGACUUUUACUUAACACCUAGGUCUAGUUAGCUUGGUGAACUGUUUUCUGACACCUGAACAGAUUGGAAGCAGGGAAUCGAAGGUGAGGAAAGACUGCCACAAACAGGAGCCAAGAAUUAAGAGCCAAACCAAGGAGGUGACAUUCACGACGACAACUGUGGAUGGAAAUCCUGCCCAAAGGGGGAUGUUGGAUGAAUGGCUCCUAAGUCCCCUUCCAACAUUUCAGUUCAUGGCUCUGAGUGUCCCUGGUUUGAUUGUGAUGGUAAAGGCAGAUAAGAGGGCGAGGGAGACCUCUGUGGAGAGCUGGUGCCCAGCAGGAGCAAGAGUGAAUUCAUGCUCUUCUUCAUGGAGGUGGAUGUUUCUGGAAGGAGGUUUGUGAUGUCCUUUGCAGGGACAUGGAUGGAGUUGGAAGCCCUUAUCCUCAGCAAACUAAUGCAGGAACAGAAAACCAAACACUGCAUGUUCUUACUUAUAAGUGGGAACUGAAUGAUGAGAACACAUGGACACAUAAGGGGAAAUGACACACACUGGGGCCUGUCAGAGCUGAGGGGUUGUGGGGAGAGGGAGAGAAUCAGGAAUAAUGGCUAAUGUAUGCUGUGCUUAAUAUCUAGGUGAUGGGAUGAUCUGUGCAGCAAACCACCAUGGCACACGUUUACCUAUGUAACAAACCUGGACAUCCUGCACAUGUAUCCUGGAACUUAAAAUAAAAGUUGAAGAAAAAAAAAAAGAAAAAGUUUUGUGAAGUCUGGAGGUGUAAUGGACAGACACAGGCUUAGGGUGAGGCAGGCCCAUGUUCAGAUCCUUGCUUCCUCACUAAGCUAGCAGGGAGACUGGCUAUAUCACUGAGCCUCAGUUUCCUCACCUGUACAUCUGCUGUAGAAGUGGCACAUCAUAUGCUGUCCUGGCUGUGACCUUUGGUAGCUCAUCACUGCCCUUCUUACUGUUCUCAGGGUAAACCCCUUUCCAGGCAGAGUUGCCAAGACACCCAGUAAAAUUUGAAUUUUGGGAUAAACACUGAAUAAUUUUUUAGUAUAAUGAUGCUCCAAAUAUUGCAUGGGAUAUACUUAACACUAAAAAAAAAAAUCAUUGUUUAUCUGAAAUUCAGAUUUAACUGGGCAACCUGCAUUUUUAAAUAAACUUUUAAUUUUAGAAUCAUUUUAGAUUUACAGAAAAAAAUAUAAAGAUCGUACAGAGUUACCACACACCCUGCACCCAGUUUUCCCUAUAACUAAUAUCUUACGUCGAGCCAGUGCAGUGGCGCACAUUUGUAAUCCUAGCUGCUCAGGAGGCUGAGGUGGGAGUAUCGUUUGAGCCCAGGAGCUCGAGGCUGCAGUGAGCCAUGAUUGCACCAUUGCACUCCAGCCUGAGUGACGGAGUAAGACGCCAUCUUUUAAAAAAAAAUCUUAUGCCAGUAUGAUACAUUUGUCACAAUUAAUGAACUAAGAUUGAUAUAUUAUCAUUAACUAAAGUCUAUACUUCAUUAGAUUUCCUUAGUUUUUCCCCAGUGUCCUUUUCUAUUCCAGGAUCCUGUCCAGGACACCAUAUCAUAUUUAGUUGUCAAGUCUCCUUAGUUCCUCUUGGCUGUGACAGUUUUUUAGACUUCCCUUGUUUUUGAUGACCUUGACCGUUUUCAGGAGCACUGGUCUGGGGUUUUGUAGAAUGCCCCUCAAUACAGCCUGUCAGAUGUUUUUCUCAUGAUUAGGCUGGGGUAUUAUUUUUUUGGGAGGAAGACCACAGAGGUCAAGAGCCAUUGUCAUCACAUCUCGUUAAGGGUCUGUACUGUCCAUAUGACUUACCACUGUUGAUGUUGACCUUGAUCACCUGGCUAAGGUAGUGUUCAUCAGGUUUAGCAACUGUAUUUUCAUUUGCUAAAUCUGUAACUCGAUUCCAGGCCUGUCAGUCUUUCAUGACCAGACCUUUGCUUACUGCUGCUGCCAUUUUUCUGCUCCAACCAUAGUGAACUGCUAACAAUUCCUCUAAUGAACUAUUCUCUGUCUCUCUUACUGCCAGGCCUUAGGGCUUGCUCUUUCCUUUGCCUGGAAUGUUCCACUCCCCCACAGCCUCCCAUCCACACCUCCCCUUCACCCGAUUAACUUACUUUUCAGUUGGGCUUCAGUGUUCUGCUUAGGUCUCACUCCUUCCGGGAAGAUUUCUUGCACCCUCCUCUGCCAAGACCAGGUUAGGUGUUGCUUCUCUGCCCUGGUCCUACUGUGUUGUGAUAUUUACCAUCCUGUGGUUGUGAACUGUUUGCUUGUCUCCCUGACCCCAGUGCAUCCCUGCACAGUGCCUUGUUGCAACUCAAUAAAUAAUUGCUGAAUAAAUGAAUGGUUACACCAGGCACUUCAGGUAAAGCCUUUAACACACUACCUGCCUUGUAAACAGUAGAUGCUCAGUAAAUGCUUGUCUUUUUCAAUGUAGGAAAAAUAAUCUUCCCUAGAUCUGAGCAACUGUAAUAAGUUUGUGCUUGCCCGACACCCGCAACACAUGCCCCUACCUGGAGAAGAGAUUCUGGAACAGUGGUCUCCUAGGAUUCCCUGAGAGCCACAGUUACCUGUAUCAAAGUAUCAAGGAGGCCACUUAAUGACAGAGAUAUUAGGAGUGAAACUUUUAGGUCGUAUAGUAAAUGUAUGUUCAACUUUGACACUGCCAGACUGUUUUCCAAAGUGAUGUUUCCAUUUCACACCCCUAUCAGCGGUGUAUGAAAGUUCCAGUUGUUUCACAUCCUCACCAACUCUCAAUACUAGUGGAAUGCCUUUUCUUCUCCUGCCCUUGGGCAUCAGACUCCAGGAUCUUUGGCCUUUGGACUCUGGGACUUGCACCAGUGGCUCCCCUAGGAUUCUCAGGCCCAGGGCCUCAUGCUGCAGACUGCACUGUUAGCUUUCCUAAUUUUGAGGCUUUCAGACUUGGACUGAGCCACGCAGCUAGGUUUUCUCAUUCUCCAGCCUGCAGACAGCCUACCAUGGGACUUUGCCUUUGUAAUCAUGCUGGAAGAGAAAGGCCCCAAGAUAAUAGAGCCACACAUGGACCGGGCAGAGAUCCCUGAGUGGCCACUGGAAGGGCCACAGCUCCUCCCACCUGUUUUAUUGUUCCUGCUGGGCUUUCCACCUGGAACGCUUACCUCUGCAUCUCCGGUGGUGUGCGAGGAGGUCUGGUGGAGAGUCAGGACUUUCACUAUCAGCCAGCAGUAAUAAAACCAUGCCACCCAAGUGUUAAUGGAGACCACCUGGGGAGCCAGAGCUCCUACCACUGCCAGGAAGUAACAAGGAACUCUCCCCACAACCUGCAUCAUCACUUUGGGUGUCAAGAAAGGCUCAGUGGGAAAUCUGGCCUUUUACCUCCAUUUGCCAGUAACAAGCAAGUGCCAUUCCUCCCCCUGCUGAAGUGGCAUUAAAGAAAUGAAGUUAAAACAAGAGGUUUAAAUGAGAUCUAAAGUCUUAUCACUUAAAAAAUGUUCAAGAUUCAAUUUAAAAAACUCACUUUUCAUACCAACAGCCAGAAAGAUCUCAAACUGAAUGAAAAACAAUCAAUAGAGGCCAAUGCUAAAAUGACAGAGGUAUUAGAAAUGUCUGACAAAGAUUUUUAAAGUGACCAUGAUAAAAAUGCUUCAAUGUGCAAUAUAAACAUGCUUGAAACAAAUAAAAAAAAGACAAUCUCAGCAAAGAAAUAGAAGAUAUAAAGAACUAUAUGAAAAAUGAAAAGUAAAAUGACUGAAGUAAUAAACUCAGUGGCUAGGCUUAACAGAAUGGAAGUGACAAAGGAAGGAUCAGUGAACUGGAAGACAGAACAAUAAAAAUAACUCAUUUAAACAACACAGAGAAAAUAGACUAAAAAAAAAAACGAGUUUCAGUGACCUGUGGGACUACAAUAAAACAUCCAGCAUUUAUGUUAUCAGGAUCCCAAAAGAACAGGAGAGACUGAAGAUGACAAAGCACUGAAAGAAAUAAUGGCUGAAAACUUCCCAAAUUUGGCAAGAGACAUAAAUCUACUGAGCCACAAACAGGACAAAUCCAAAGAAAUUCAUGUCAAGAUUCAUAAUAAUUAAACUUCUGAAAAUUAAAGACAAAGUUCUGAAAGCAGGCAGAGAAUGACAUCUUACCUGAAGGGAAAAAACACACAAGCAAGCAAGUAAACAACAUAAUAGCAGACUUUUUUUAUCUUAAAUCAUGGGGGCCAGAAGAAAGCAGUACAGUGUUUUUUGUUUUGUUUUAUUUUGUUUUGCUUUCUUCAAAUGCUGAAAGAAAAGAACUGUCAACCCAGAAUUCAAUAUCCAGUGAAAGUAUCCUUCAGGAAUGAAUGGGGCCAAUGAAGAUAUUCUCAAAAGAAGGAAAUUUAAUAGAAUUCAUCACUAGCAGACUUACCCUAAAGAAAUGGCUAAAUGAAGUUCUCUAAAUGGAAAGUAAAUGGUAAAAGAAGGAGCCUUGGAACACCAGGAAGAAAAAAUAAAAGCUAAAAUACAGAUCUGAAAGCCGGAAGUCUGAGAUCAGAGUGACAGCAUGGUCAGCCUCUGCUGAGGACUGUCUUCAGGGUUGCAGACUGCAGACUUCUCAUUGUAUCCUCACAUGGUGGAAGGAGCAAGAUAACUUUCUGCGGUCUCCUUUAGAAGAACACUAAUUUCAUUCAUGAUGCCUCCUCUCUCAUGACCUAAUUAUCUUCCAAAGUCCCCACCUCCUAAUACCAUCACACUGGGGUAUGGAUUUCAACAUGUAAAUUUUGGUGGGGAGUGGGAGAGGAGUACAAGCAUUCAGUCCAUAAUAACUACAUAAUAAAAAGAUUUAAAAAAUGAAAUUAUUCAACAGGAACACAGUACAAAUAAUAUGAUAGGACAAAGACAAAAUAUAUUUUAUCUGUUAAUAAAAGUAAAUAUUCAUUAAGAUAAUUUUCAGAAUGGAUCACAAAGCAAAUCCAACUUUGUUAUAUGUAAGAAAUACGUGUAAACAAAGAUAUUCACAAAGUUUAAGAGUUAAAUAUACACCAGAGAAAUACAAACGCAAAGAAAGCAGUGAUGGAUAUCUUAAUAUCACACAACAUAGAAUUCAAGACAAAUAUCAUUAAAUAGGGAAGGAAGGGUACCUUUUUACAUAAAGGAUAUAAAUCAGUUUAAGAUAAUAUAUAUAAAUAACUAUAUGCCAAAUAAUAUAGCAUCCACCUUCAUAAAGCAGAAAUUAGACAGAAGAAAUAAGCGGAUACACUAAUAGAAAGGGAAUUUAAUUAACUUUUCUCUGUCUAUUUUAUACCAAGAGGACAAUAAUAAACAGGAAUAUAGAAUACCUAAGUAAUUAAUGAGACAGACAUGAUUAAUCCAUGUAACUAAAGAACACAGAAUAAGUUUUUUGUUUUUUCAAAAGCUGUGAAAAUAUUCAUAGAAAGUGAUCAUAUAUUAACUCAUAAAGAAAUAUUUAAUAAAUUCCAAAAAGUAGACAUAGUAUGGAUAACAUUGUGUAACUAUAAUUCAUUAAAACUAAACACUGAUAACAAAAGAGAAAGCAAAAACUCCUUCCAUCUGGAAAUUAUAAAGGAUCUCUUAAUGCUCAGAGAGGAAAUACAAAUCAAAAUGGAAGAUUGUUUUAGGAAAAAACAGUAAUGCAAGUACUCUUUAUCAGAAUUUGUGGGAUAAUAUGGGUUGAGUUGUGUACCCAAAUUCAUAUGUUGAAGUCCUAACCCUCAUUAUCUCAAACUGUAAUCUUAUUUGGAGAUAAGGUCUUUACAGAGGUAAUCGAGUUAAAAUGAAGUCAUUAGAAGGGGUGUCCUCACCAAGUAUGACUGGUAUCCUCAUAAAAAAGGGGAAAUUUGGACACAGAUACACACAUAUAGGGAGAACACUAUGUGAAGAGAAGGCAAGAUCAGGGUGAUGCUUCUACAAGCCAAGGACUGCCAAAGAUUGCCAGCAAACCACCAGAAGCUGGGGAAGAGGCAUGGGGCAGAUUCUCCUUCACAGCCCUCAGAGGGAACCAACCCUAAUGAUGCCUUGACACUGUACUUCCAGCUUUCAGAAAACUGCGAGUCUUGAACUGGGUUUAAGAUACCCAGUUUGUGGUACUUUGUUAUGGCAGCAUUAGAAAACUACUACACAGAUAAAGCAGUGUACAGAGAAAAAAAACAUAGCCUUAAAUAGCAAAAGAAAGAAUAAAAUGAAUCAAGCAUUAUGCUCAAAAAGUUAGAAACAGCAUACCAAAAUAUAUUGAAGGACUCUAGAAGGAAAGUAUCAGUAGUGAUAAAAGUGGGAAUUAACAAAUUAGAAAACAGAUUAAAAGUACUAAUAAAUAAAUUCCAGCUCUAGUUCUUUGAACCAAUGAAAUACAUAAAUCAUUAGAUAACAUAAUUAAGAAAUAAUGGUCAAAAUGUAAACACACAAAUGAGAACUUGAAAGGGCGAAAUAACAAAGAAAUAGAGAAAUUUUUUUUUUUUGGUCUUCAAGCAUCUGUUUAACAAAGCACAUCUUGCACCGCCCUUAAUCCAUUUAACCCUGAGUUGACACAGCACAUGUUUCAGAGAGCACGGGGUUGGGGGUGAGGUUAUAGAUUAACAGCAUCCCAAGGCAGAAGAAUUUUUCUUAGUACAGAACAAAAUGGAGUCUCCUAUGUCUACUUCUUUCUACACAGACACAGUAACAAUCUGAUCUCUCUUUCUUUUCCCCACAUUUCCCCCUUUUCUUUUCGACAAAACCGCCAUUGUCAUCAUGGCCCAUUCUUGAUGGUCGCUGUCUCUUCGGAGCUGUUGGGUACACUUCCGAGACAGGGCGGCCUGGCAGAGGUGCUACUCACUUCCCAGACGGGGCGGCCGGGCAGAGGCACUCCUCACUUCCCAGACGGGGUGGCGGCCAGGCAGAGGCGCUCCUCACCUCCCAGACGGGGUGGCGGCCAGACAGAGGUGCUCCUCACAUCCCAGACGAAGAGUGGCCAGGUAGAGGCGCUCCCCGCCUCCCAGAUGAAGGGUGGCCGGGCAGAGGCGCCCCUCACUUCCCAUGCGGGGCAGCAGGGCAGAGACGCCCCUCACCUCUCAGAUGGGGUGGCGGCUGGGCUGAGGCGCUCCUCACUUCCCAGAUGGGGUGGUGGCGGGGCAGAGAUGCCCCUCACCUCCCAGAUGGCGCGGCCGGGCAGGGGUGCUUCUCUCCUCCCAGACGGGGCUUCCGGGCAGAGGCGCUCCUCACUUCCCAGAUGGGGCGGCUGGGCAGAGGCGUUCCUCUCUUCCCAUUUGGGGCAACGGGGUAGAGGCGCUCCUCACUUCCUCCCAGACGGGGCGGCCGAGCAGGGGCGCUCCUCGCUUCCCAAACGGGGCGGCCGGGCAGAGGCGCUCCUCACACCCCAGACGGGGCAGCCGGGCAGAGGCAUUCCUCACUUCCCAGACGGGGCGGCCAGGCAGAGGGGCUCCUCACAUCCCAGACGAUGGGUGGCCAGGCAGAGACCCUCCUCACUUCCUAGAUGGGGUGGCGGCCGGGCAGAGGCGCUACUCACUUCCCAGAGCGGGGCAGCCAGGCAGAGGCGCUCCUCACUUCCCAUUCGGGGCAGCCGGGCAGAGGUGCUCCUCACUUCCCAGUCAGGGCGGCCAGGCAGAGGGGCUCCUCACAUCCCAGAUGAUGAUGGGCGGCCAGGCAGAGACGCUCCUCACUUCCUGGCCGGGGUGGCGGCCGGGCAGAGACGCUCCUCACUUCCCAUUCGGGGCAGCCGGGCAGAGGGGCUCCUCACAUCCCAGAUGAUGGGUGGCCAGGCAGAGACGUUCCUCACUUCCUAGACGGGGUGGCAGCUGGGCAGAGGCGCUCCUCACUUCCCAGACAGGGCGGCCGGGGAGAGGGGCUCCUCACAUCCCAGAUGAUGGGCGGCCAGGCAGAGACGCUGCUCACUUCCUAGAUGGGGUGGCAGGCGGGCAGAGGCUGUAAUCUUAGCACUUUGGGAGGCCAAGGCAGGCGGCUGGGAGGUGGAGGUUGUAGCGAGCCGAGAUCACGCCACUGCACUCCAGCCUGGGCAACAUUGAGCAUUGAGUGAGCGAGACUCCGUCUGCAAUCCCAGCACCUCAGGAGGCCGAGGCAGGCAGAUCACCUGAGGCCAGGAGCUGGAGACCAGCCCGGUCAACAGGGCGAAACCCUGUCUCCACCAAAAAUACAAAAACCAGUCAGGAGUCCAGCGCGUGCCUGGCAUCCCAGGCACAGGCAGGAGAAUCACCAGAGUCCGAGGCAGGAAGGUUGCAGCGAGCGGAGAUCAUGGCAGUACAGUCCAGGCUCCGCAAGAGAGGGAGACCAUAGAAAGAGGGAGAC